rnacentral:lncRNA from 1 species
CUAAAAUGUAUGAUCAUAACCAAAGUGUUCUAAUAUUAAAGGAGGUUCAUUUUGGCCCUUGUCUCUUUACAUAUGUACUUUGUUUUACAGCUAGAUUUUGAGAUGAACUGCGGAACUGAUAAUUUAUGUGUCGAUGACCUCAGAAUGGAUUUCAAUUUCUCUGGGUGAGCAAAUCAUUUGCUCUAUUUCUAAACUUUAAUAUUGAUAGAGAUUAGUAAUUCCAAAUGACCUUGACACCCUCAAAUCACUCUUUUGUUUCUGUGAUCUAGAGCUACAAACAUAGAGGUUGGGAUCAUGCAGGAGAUCUAUGUGACAGUGUUUGUAGAGAACAGAGGAGAAAACUCAUACAACACACUCUACAUCCUCAACUACCCCUUUGGACUUUCCUACAGGAGAAUCACAUCAAAACAGGUAAAGCCAGACAUGAAGGUACAAAUGCUGAAUCUAAUAGUAUUUAAUCACAAUAAAGAUGAUAUAUCUAAGGCAAAUUAGCUACUAAACAAUGAAGAUGCAAUGCUGAAUCUAAUAGUAUUUAAUCACAAUAAAGAUGAUAUAUCUAAGGCAAAUUAGCUACUAAACAAUGAAGAUGCAAUAAAAUGUGUGUUGAAAUGUAUAAUACAUUUUCUGUAUGAACAGGGCAGAGUGGAGUGUGUGUCUCUAGAUGGUGUGCAGGGAGUUAAACUAGGAGAAACUACCUGCUACAUCAGUAAACCCAUCCUUAAGGACAACUCUCAGGUUGUGUUUGAGAUUACAUACAGUAUUAAUAAAGAAAGUACACUGGGCCAAAAUGUGACGUUUAAGGCUGAGGUCACAAGGUAUGACAUCAAUUUUAACACAUUAAUUUUAUCUGAUAAAUGCAGCUGAUAAACAAAACCUCCAUCUCUCACAGUGGGAAUGACAAACACAUGAACAGCAGUGAGUUUUUUAAAGAGAAGACAAUUGGUGUUAAAUAUGCCAUCUAUGUUGCCUUGAUAAGGCAUGAAAAUUCCACCAUCCACAUUAAUUUUACUUCAGGGAAAAAGGAUCUUAUGAAACCAGUCCAGCACAUAAUAAAGGUAUCAGUUCAAAUUCUGUAACAUAACAUACCCUAAAUAUAAUUUUGGCAAAGAAACAAUUUUCACUUGAGUUUGAGUUUUAUUAGACAUAAAAAGUGACAAUACAGCUGCAUUUCACUUCUUUGUCAAGGGUAACUCAAAGUAACAAGACUUAUUUCCAUUGUGUUCCUUGAUAUUAGAAGAAAAGGAAUUCAUGACGACAGGCAUAUUUGGCAUACAUUUCAUACUAAUAACAAAAACAAAUAUUAUU